rnacentral:rRNA from 1 species
UAAAACCAGCACCUCAAGUGGUCAGGAUGAUUAUUGGGCCUAAAGCAUCCGUAGCCGGCUUUGUAAGUUUUCGGUUAAAUCCAUGUGCUCAACGCAUGGGCUGCCGAAAAUACUGCAUAGCUAGGGAGUGGGAGAGGUAGACGGUACUCAGUAGGUAGGGGUAAAAUCCUUUGAUCUAUUGAUGACCACCUGUGGCGAAGGCGGUCUACCAGAACACGUUCGACGGUGAGGGAUGAAAGCUGGGGGAGCAAACCGGAUUAGAUACCCGGGUAGUCCCAGCUGUAAACGAUGCAGACUAGAUGAUGCAUUGGCAUAAUAGCCAUUGCAGUGUCUCAGGGAAGCCGUUAAGUCUGCCGCCUGGGAAGUACGUACGCAAGUAUG